GACGAACGCUGGCGGCGUGCUUAACACAUGCAAGUCGAACGGUGAACGAGGGAGCUUGCUCCCUCCGGAUCAGUGGCGAACGGGUGAGUAACACGUGAGCAAUCUGCCCCGAACUCUGGGAUAAGCGUUGGAAACGACGUCUAAUACCGGAUACGACGCGGGAGGGCAUCCUCUCCGCGUGGAAAGAACUUCGGUUCGGGAUGAGCUCGCGGCCUAUCAGCUUGUUGGUGAGGUAACGGCUCACCAAGGCGACGACGGGUAGCCGGCCUGAGAGGGUGACCGGGCACACUGGGACUGAGACACGGCCCAGACUCCUACGGGAGGCAGCAGUGGGGAAUAUUGCACAAUGGGCGCAAGCCUGAUGCAGCAACGCCGCGUGAGGGACGACGGCCUUCGGGUUGUAAACCUCUUUUAGCAGGGAAGAAGCGAAAGUGACGGUACCUGCAGAAAAAGCACCGGCUAACUACGUG
rnacentral:rRNA from 1 species